AAAAUCUCAAAAACCCUAUACCCGAUCCCGACCCCGAAAACGAAAUCAGGUACCCUAAUACCCGAGUCGGGUACCCGAGUCGGGUAUUCGGGUACCCUAAAUUACCCGGUCAAAAUUGUCUAUUUCAAGUCAACUGUCCAAAUUCGAAAUCUGUAUUAAAAAAAAAAAGAAGAAGAACGGCAGGGCGGCUGCUGCUGUCUAAAUUCGAAGCUGUCGUCGGAGCUCGAGCACGGCUGCUGCGGCGGCGAACGGCGGGGCGGCUGCUGCUGACUGCGGCGGCGAAAUCUGGGCGAGGGUCGCGGUGGGAGUUGCGGCGAAAUCUGGGCGAGGAUCGCGGUGGGAGUUGCGCCGCCUCCCACGCCGGGCUGGAGACUGGAGUGGCGAGUGGGGCGGCCGGGCGGCAGGCGGGGCUGAGUUUGGGAAUUGGAUGAUUUGGGAAUUGGGGACUGGGGAUGGGGAGGACGAAAUGGGUUUGUUUGGAUAUGACGAAAUUGGGAAUUGGAUGAUUUGGUAAUCCAAUUCAACAAGGGAAGUGGAUUACAGCUGUGCCGAAUUGCCGAUAUAUUAAGUCCUUUAAUUCGGGUAUUUCGGGUAUACCCGAUACCCGAUCGGGUAUACCCGAUACCCGAUUUUCUAACACCCUAAAUACCCGAUCCCGAACCCGAACUCGAUUUUUUCGGGUAUAGGGUACCCGAUACCCGAUUUUUUCGGGUCGGGUAAUCGGGUACCCGAUACCCG
rnacentral:lncRNA from 1 species